AUUUGUAGCAAGAGACUGAACUGGUCC
rnacentral:piRNA from 1 species